rnacentral:rRNA from 1 species
AUGAUCCUGGCUCAGGACGAACGCUGGCGGCGUGCUUAACACAUGCAAUUCGAGCGGAAAGCCAAUUCGUUGGUACUCGAGCGGCGAACGGGUGAGUAACACGUGAGUAAUCUGCCCCUGGCUUUGGGAUAGCCACCGGAAACGGUGAUUAAUACCGGAUAUGACAUGGACUCGCAUGGGUUUGUGUGGAAAGUUUUUCGGCCAGGGAUGUGCUCGCGGCCUAUCAGCUUGAUGGUGAGGUAAUGGCUCACCAUGGCUUCGACGGGUAGCCGGCCUGAGAGGGUGACCGGUCACACUGGGACUGAGACACGGCCCA